rnacentral:lncRNA from 1 species
CUCAUCGGUGACCUAUAUUUUUUAUUAUUGUUUUCAAAUUAGCUGUACAUUAACUAAAUAAUUGUAAAAUUCAAGCGAUUUCUGUAAUUAGGUUAUUUUUUAUUUCGAUAUUACCUUUAUUUCUCCUAUUAGUUCAACAGAAAAAAGGACAUUAACAAAAAUGUAUGCUUCUUCCGGAGGCAGAUUGUGAGCUUCAAUGACCGGUGACCCCAUUUUUUUAUUUCAUUUUUCUUUUAAGUAUAUGAUAAAGUUGAUGAUAAAAUAAAUAUAGCAAAAUCCUAUAUUAGAAAAUAAAA